GCCUAAAUAGCUCAGUUGGGAGAGCGCUACACUGAAGAUGUAUAGGUCCCCUGUUCAAGCCAGGGUUUGGGCA